AGCGAACGCUGGCGGCAGGCCUAACACAUGCAAGUCGAACGAACUCUUCGGAGUUAGUGGCGGACGGGUGAGUAACACGUGGGAACGUGCCUUUAGGUUCGGAUUAACUCAGGGAAACUUGUGCUAAUACCGAAUGUGCCCUUCGGGGGAAAGAUUUAUCGCCUUUAGAGCGGCCCGCGUCUGAUUAGCUAGUUGGUGAGGUAAAGGCUCACCAAGGCGACGAUCAGUAGCUGGUCUGAGAGGAUGAUCAGCCACAUUGGGACUGAGACACGGCCCAAACUCCUACGGGAGGCAGCAGUGGGGAAUCUUGCGCAAUGGGCGAAAGCCUGACGCAGCCAUGCCGCGUGAAUGAUGAAGGUCUUAGGAUUGUAAAAUUCUUUCACCGGGGACGAUAAUGACGGUACCCGGAGAAGAAGCCCCGGCUAACUUCGUGCCAGCCGCCGCAGUAACAC
rnacentral:rRNA from 1 species